rnacentral:tRNA from 1 species
GAGGCUGUCACUCAGUGGUAGAGCACUUGCCUAGAAUGCAAGAGGUCCAAGGUUUGAUCCCCACUAACCUCA